rnacentral:lncRNA from 1 species
UGAUUUCUCUGUAUUUUCAAUAUUUUUUCAAUUUCAAAUAUUUUCUAUAUUUUUCCUUCUUAUGUUUUGUACAUGAGUUCAUGGAAUCAAUAUUAAUGUGUUUUUAUUUUGAAGGAUAAAUUUAUAAUAUCUAUUAGCCCUAAUACCAAUAUUUGUGUCUGAUUUCAGAAGAAGGGAUUACUAAGAAGACUCUGUUCAGUACAAAGAAUCACAAAGUCAAGGAGAACAACAAUCCCUAUAGGAUUGAUGAGGAUCCACACCAAGACAAAGGAUUUGUUUUGAGGUUCAAGGUAGCAACUUUUUGACAAAUUCAGACAUUGGAUUUCCACAGGUGAAAGGUUUCUACAGGUCCUGUUCACCCUUGAGAAAGGGAUCAAAUCAAGUGGGAAGCCAUCAAAACUAUCUUGGGAUGGAAUGGCCAACCGACUGCUGAUCCACACUUCAUAGAGGCUAUCUUUCCGCCCACUAGGCCAGCCUGGGAUUUUAAUUCUGAUCAAGUUCCACUUGGGACGAUUGUCAGCAGCUUUUGCAGGUCCUUUUCACCCUCGAAGAGCAUGAACACAUCUUCACAGAGGCCUGCAAAAAUGUGCCUAAUGGGGUUGAAGGCCAUCCCACAACCCAGCAACACCUCAUCGAAGAAGCCUUCCCUCUCACUCAUCCCAAUUGGGAUUUUGAACAACCUGAAGGUAGGGAGUGUCUCU